GAUCCUGGCUCAGGAUGAACGCUGGCGGCGUGCUUAACACAUUCAAGUCGAACGAAGAAGAUUGGAGCUUGCUCCGAUCGGAUUAGUGGCGGACGGGUGAGUAACGCGUGAGUAACCUGCCUGCGAGAGGGGGAUAACAACGGGAAACUGUUGCUAAUACCGCAUAACGCAUCGAUUCCGCAUGGGAGAUGAUGCCGAAAAGGGAAACCGCUUGCAGAUGGACUCGCGU
rnacentral:rRNA from 1 species